rnacentral:rRNA from 1 species
CCUACGGGAGGCAGCAGUGAGGAAUAUUGGUCAAUGGGCGCGAGCCUGAACCAGCCAAGUCGCGUGAAGGAUGACGGUCCUACGGGUUGUAAACUUCUUUUGUCAAGGAACAAAGUGAGGCACGAGUGCCUGGUUGUAGGUACUUGAAGAAAAAGCAUCGGCUAACUCCGUGCCAGCAGCCGCGGUAAUACGGAGGAUCCGAGCGUUAUCCGGAUUUAUUGGGUUUAAAGGGUGCGUAGGUGGGCUUUUAAGUCAGCGGUAAAAGCCCGGGGCUCAACCCCGACGAGCCGUUGAAACUGGCAGUCUUGAGUAGGAGAGAGGUAGGCGGAAUGCGCGGUGUAGCGGUGAAAUGCUUAGAUAUCGCGCAGAACUCCGAUUGCGAAGGCAGCAUACUGGCGCCCCACUGACGCUGAGGCACGAAAGCGUGGGUAUCGAACAGGAUUAGAUACCCGUGUAGUC